rnacentral:rRNA from 1 species
GUUGAACGCUGGCGGCGUGCCUAACACAUGCAAGUCGAGCGGAGCGGGGGACGGGUGAGUGAUGCCUACGAAUCUGACCGGCCGUGGGGGAUAAGGUCCGGAAACGGGCGCGAAGACCACAUCCGAUUUGAUGAGACUAAGUGGGAUUAGCUAGUUGGUGGGGUAACGGCCUACCAAGGCGACGAUCCGUAACUGGUCUGAGAGGAUGAUCAGCCACACUGGAACUGAGACACGGUCCAGACUCCUACGGGAGGCAGCAGUGGGGAAUAUUCCACAAUGGGCGAAAGCCUGACCCAGCCACGCCGCGUGUGUGAAGAAGGUCUUCGGAUUGUAAAGCACUUUAAGUUGGGAGGCGGUACCAACAGAAUAAGCACCGGCUAACUUCGUGCCAGCAGCCGCGGUAAUAC